UACGUAGGGGCCGAGCGUUGUCCGGAUUUAUUGGGCCUAAAGCAUCCGUAGCCGGUCCUGCAAGUCUUCCGUUAAAUCCACCUGCUCAACAGUUGGGCUGCGGGGGAUACUACAGGGCUAGGAGGCGGGAGAGGCAAGCGGUACUCAGUGGGUAGGGGUAAAAUCCGCUGAUCCAUUGAAGACCACCAGUGGCGAAGGCGGCUUGCCAGAACGCGCUCGACGGUGAGGGAUGAAAGCUGGGGGAGCAAACCGG
rnacentral:rRNA from 1 species